AAGAUUGCGACCUCGAUGUUGGA
rnacentral:sRNA from 1 species